rnacentral:rRNA from 1 species
CCUACGGGUGACAGCAGUGAGGAAUAUUGGUCAAUGGGCGCAAGCCUGAACCAGCCAAGUCGCGUGAGGGAUGACGGUCCUAUGGAUUGUAAACCUCUUUUGUCGGGGAGCAAGGCUCGCCACGUGUUGCUUGAAGGAGAGUACCCGAAGAAAAAGCAUCGGCUAACGCCGUGCCAGCAGCCGCGGUAAGACGUAGGAUGCGAGCGUUAUCCGGAUUUAUUGGGUUUAAAGGGUGCGUAGGCGGAAGGUUAAGUCAGCGGUCAAAUGUCGGUGCUGAACACCGGCCUGCCGUUGAAACUGGUCUUCUUGAGUGAGCGAGAAGUAUGCGGAAUGCGUGGUGUAGCGGUGAAAUGCACAGAUAUAACGCAGAACUCAGAUUGCGAAGGCAGCAUACCGGCGCUCAACUGACGCUGAGGCACGACAGCGUGGGGAUCGAACAGGAUUAGAUACCCCGGUAGCG